rnacentral:rRNA from 1 species
AUUGAACGCUGGCGGCAUGCCUUACACAUGCAAGUCGAACGGUAACGCGGGGGCAACCCUGGCGACGAGUGGCGAACGGGUGAGUAAUACAUCGGAACGUACCCAGUAGUGGGGGAUAGCUCGGCGAAAGCCGGAUUAAUACCGCAUACGACCUAUGGGUGAAAGCGGGGGAUCGCAAGACCUCGCGCUAUUGGAGCGGCCGAUGUCGGAUUAGCUAGUUGGUGAGGUAAAAGCNCACCAAGGCUACGAUCCGUAGCUGGUCUGAGAGGACGACCAGCCACACUGGGACUGAGACACGGCCCAGACUCCUACGGGAGGCAGCAGUGGGGAAUUUUGGACAAUGGGCGAAAGCCUGAUCCAGCCAUGCCGCGUGUGUGAAGAAGGCCCUCGGGUUGUAAAGCACUUUUGUCCGGAACG